rnacentral:lncRNA from 1 species
UCCGCGCCGCGCCGCACCGCCCAGUCUGCCGUAGCCGCCCCCUCUCUCUCUCUCUCAGACUCGCCUAGUCGCCGCACCGCCCAUCUCCGCGCCGCACCGCCGCGUCUCCGCGCCACCGGCCAUCUCCGCGCCGCACCGGCCAUCUCCGCGCCGCACCGCCCAGUCGCCCGUAGCCGCCCCCCCUCUCUCUCUAUCAGACUCGCUCAGUCGCCGCACCGCCCAUCUCCGCGCCGCACCGCCGC